ACAAAAGAGGCAGGAAGGUUAAAUUCUUGCCGUUUCGCGGUCAAGUCUUGGGAGGAUCAGAUCUUAGGCGCGCUCGCUCGCUGCCCCGGUAACGGAUAAGGAUCACGCGAUACUUUAAAACAAGGCUUAUGGCCUUGUUUUUUUUU
rfam:Rhizobium lusitanum strain P1-7 genome assembly, contig: Ga0061101_129